rnacentral:rRNA from 1 species
CCUACGGGAGGCAGCAGUGGGGGAUAUUGCACAAUGGGGAAACCCUGAUGCAGCGACGCCGCGUGGGCGAAGAAGGAUUUCGGGAUGUAAAGCCCUAUCAGCAGGGGAGGAGAAAUGACGGUACCGGAGUAAGAAGCACCGGCUAAAUACGUGCCAGCAGCCGCGGUAAUACGUAUGGUGCAAGCGUUAGCCGGAUGUACUGGGUGUAAAGGGAGCGCAGGCGGCACGGCAAGCCUGAUGUGAAAGCCCGCGGCCCAACCGCGGGACUGCAGUGGGAACGACCGGCCUGGAGUGCCGGAGAGGUAGGCGGAAUUCCUAGUGUAGCGGUGAAAUGCGUAGAUAUUAGGAGGAACACCAGUGGCGAAGGCGGCCUACUGGACGGUGACUGACGCUGAGGCUCGAAAGCGUGGGGAGCAAACAGGAUUAGAUACCCCUGUAGUC